AGAACGACAGGAAGAAGACAAAAAAAAGAGAAAGCUGCAGAGAAAAGGACGACAUGUAUGCGUGUCCUUUCUUUCUUUCCUCUCGCGUCGAGCGUUUUCUGCUUUUGUCGGUCUCUCUUCUC
rnacentral:ribozyme from 14 species